AGGCACCCAUGCGUGGGGAACAGCUCCACGCCUAUAGGAUGGGAGCGCCUCUGAGGGAGGGGCGCUCUACAGUGGGCGUGACCCUGCUCUCCCCAGCCCUCGCUCCCCACCUGUCCCUGCCUAGACAAGGGCUCUGCACAAAGCAGGUGGUUAACACACAUUGGCAAAUAAAAAUCCCCGGAUAGAGAAAGAAGUGAAGAGUUAGAGAAGGGGUAGAAGGAGGCAAGGAAGGGGGAAAGUGGAUCUCUUCUAGAAAAAUCAGACUGCGGACCUUCCCCCUGCGUUCACACUCCCCAUGGGGGCUGUCUUGAAAGAGGAAAAAAGAUAAAGGAACAGACUCAAGAGGUAACAUGGUUUGCCCAAAGUCACACAGUGGAGUGCAGAGAUGGGGCUCAAACUCACCUUCGUUACCUCCAAAGCUGGAGCUAUGGAUGACGGUUGAGCGCCCUGGGGGAAUUUCUGAGUCCCAACUAACAGCCAGGACGGCGGGGCAGCAGUCUUCAGUUGGUGCUGCCACCUAGGGACAAGACAGAGAACUGUGACCCAAACCUUCCCCUCCUUCCUUCCCUCCCCAGGCUCCAACCCCGCCCCCGGCUUGAGAGGCCCGCAGGGCUGAGCGCUCCCUCUGGCAGCCAACCACUGGGCGUUUUGGCGGAGGCCGCCUGGGUGCAGAGAGCUGAGCUCUAGAGUGAGCAGGUGCCUCCUCAGGCCUCCUCACUGUCUCCCAGCGCGCGGCUCUGAAGAAACAGUUGUUGAGUAAAUGACCAGGGAUGCAAAUCUCCACAGGCCUGGGACCCCGCUGGUCUCCACAGACAACCUGUGGAGACACUCCACUGUGAGGGUCAGGGAUGAGCACGUCCCGGCCUGGGCCAGCCUCUGCCUCAGUGGGGGUCCUGCACGAUCCCUUCCACGGAGCACAGACUGGCGCCCUGUGCCGUGUUAAGCAGCUUGUCUUGCAUUAUCUAAUUUCAUCCGAGACCCAAAGAGCUCAUCGUGGCCUGCCCGAGUUCUCAGCAGGGACUCGAACCCGGAUCCUCAGACUCCAAGGGCAGGGUUCUGCUUCAUCACUCUGCCCUGCCACCCC
rnacentral:lncRNA from 1 species